UGGUUGAUCCUGCCAGCGGCCACCGCUAUUGGGUUUCGCUUAAGCCAUGCGAGUCGAGAGGGUUCGGCCCUCGGCAGACUGCUCAGUAACACGUGGAGAACUUGCCCUACGCUGGAGAAUAAUCUCGGGAAACUGAGGACAAUGCUCCAUAGCCUCGCCGUCCUGGAACGGUGGUGAGGUCAAAGCUCCGGCGGCGUAGGAUAGCUCUGCGGCCUAUCAGGUUGUAGCGAGGGUAACGUCCUCGCUAGCCUACGACGGGUAUGGGUGUUGGGAGACAUCGCCCAGAGAUGGAUUCUGAGACACGAAUCCAGGCCCUACGGGGCGCAGCAGGCGCGAAAACUGCACAAUGUGGGAAACCACGAUGCGGGAAACCCAAGUGCCAGCGCUAUGCGUUGGCUGUCCUCCAGUGUUCGUAACUGGGGAAGAAAGUGCUGGGUAAGACGGGUGCCAGCCGCCGCGGUAAUACCCGCAGCACAAGUGGUGGUCAUUAUUAUUGGGCCUAAAGCGUCCGUAGCUGGCUUGUUAGAUGCCUGGGUAAAUCGAUGCGCUCAACGUAUCGAACUCCGGGUAGACCGGCAAGCUUGGGACCGGGAGAGGCGUGAGCUACUCGAGGGGUAGGGGUAAAAUCCUGUAAUCCUUCGGGGAGGACCAGUGGCGAAGGCGUCACGCUAGAACGGCUCCGACAGUGAGGGACGAAGCCCUGGGGCGCAAACCGGAUUAGAUACCCGGGUAGUCCAGGGUGUAAACGCUGCAGACUUGGUGUCGGUGAUCCUACGAGGGUUGCCGGUGCCGUAGAGAAGUUGUUUAGUCUGCCGCCUGGGGAGUACGGUCGCAAGACUGAAACUUAAAGGAAUUGGCGGGGGAGCACCGCAACGCGUGGAGUGUGCGGUUUAAUUGGAUUCAACGCCGGAAAACUCACCUGGGGGGACUGCCGAAUGUGGCUCCGUCUGAUGGACGUUGCCGAAUACAGGUAGAGAGGUGGUGCAUGGCCGUCGUCAGCUCGUACCGUAAGGCGUUCUGUUAAGUCAGAUAACGAGCGAGACCUGCGCCGUCAUUUGCAACUCGGGAAUCCGUUCCCGGGGCACAAUGGCGGGACCGCUGGCGCGAAGUCAGAGGAAGGUGCAGGCAACGACAGGUCCGUAUGCCCCGAAUCUCCAGGGCUACACGCGCACUACAAAGGAUCGGACAAUGGGUCCCUACCCCGAGAGGGGACGGCAAUCUCGAAACCGAUUCGUAGUUCGGAUCGAGGCUGCAACUCGCCCUCGUGAAGCUGGAACGCGUAGUAAUCGCAGGUCAACAUCCUGCGGUGAAUAUGCCCCUGCUCCUUGCACACACCGCCCGUCAAACCAUGCGAGUGGGGUCGUAGUGAAGGCACGCUUCUUGGCGUGUUUGAACUUCGAUUCUGCAAGCGGGGUUAAGUCGUAACAAGGUA
rnacentral:rRNA from 1 species